CUCAAUCACACACUCGCUCACUCCCUCACGCACUCACUUACUCACAUAGUUUAGCUUUAUGAUUAUUCUCAUUUAAGAUAAUUGGGCCUCUAUUUCAGGAGAGGAACGACAUGCAUGACCUUCUGGCUCUCCUCUCUGCUGAGACCGAUCCGGCCCCAACAGAGCAGGCCCAGCUCUAACAGUGGUCUUCUCUACAGGCCGUCCUGCUCCGCUCCCGUUUGGCACCAGCUCCUGCCACAACAAAAGAGGAUUCCUCUGAAGAGUUCCUGCUGGAUACAGAUCUGCCAAGCACACCUCUUCCAGCCACACCACCACUGCCCUCUUCAUCUUGGACCACGACCGAUGGACAGAGCCCAUUAGAGCUGCAAGUGAUGUCCUACUGGCCAAGCACCACGGGGAGGAAGAGAUCCUGAAGUGGGUGGAUCUGAUUUGCUUUUAACACCAGCCCAGAGAAGCUCUUAGAGACACUCACAUUAUGUCACUGCAGAGAGUGAAACAGUCAGUGUCCCAGUCACGUCCCCUAAGACCUGCACUUACACAGCAGAAAGCCUCACCAUUUCAAGGAUGCCAUUUGAGGAUUUUGCUGCCGCUGCCUUCUUUCAAUGGGAGCUGGAGGCCUCAAAGAAGAGGGAUGUAGUGAGGAAGGAGCGAACUGAAGAAAGAGAAAAUCCUUAGAUUAAGCAGAGUUGGUCUGAUGGGAAUCUGUGAUUUCAUUUUGCUUGAGGAACAAUAGAGGAACAAUAGAGAACAAAAGAGGAAAGCCCCAACUUGUGCUAUGUCAUGACUCACCUGGACCACCUCUUGUUAAGUAAAUCAGGUGUUACAUGAGGUGAAAAGGAGACAAGUGCCAUUUUAAGAAAAUAAAAAGCAAUGUAUUUACAUUCACAUAUCAAACCGUUUACACUAAACAGACCUAAAACAACUAUCUAGGAUUGUUGCAUGAAUAAAUUAAUAAAUAUGAAGCAUGUAACUGCCAAGGUAGAAUAUUGAAAGUGUGUCCUCCUGUAAAAUGAUUUGGUCUGAGGGAAUUUUAAUAAAGUUACUAUAAUAAAGAAUUGAAGACAAAAACACUCCAUAAACUGAUUAAACUUUAUUAAAACUUGUAAUGUAAUUAUUGUUUUAAGUACAGUGUACCAACUUCUCUCUUAUGUUUAUUUUAAUAAACAGAGUAAACUUUUA